UACUUUCAAAUUCGAUUAUCCCAUGGAAUUGAUUAUGUAACCAAACCUAUUAUUGACUGUAUAAAAACCUGGCCCAAGCUAAGUUUGGCACAAAGGGCACUUGAGAUGCCAAACGUGCCAUUACAUCACAUCACAUCACAUCACAUCACAUCACAUCAACAAGCUUAGUUUGUAUGUGAUCAAGAGGCGUGUGGUCGGCAUAUGGAUUCGGUCUUGUUGCAUGUAAUAAUAAAAGGACGGACAUUUGGUGCCUUCAACUUGCCGAGUCCGUGUUUUGUCACGUUGCGGAUGGCCGAAAAUUUGUUAAACGUUAAUGGCGGAAUAUCCAAAUCUACACAGCGUGAGCAAGGGGGCUGCGCAGGCACAGACCCGCUGGAGUGAAAGCUAAUAAGGAGAAAAUUAUGACGCUUCAGAAAAGGCGUUGCCGCAAGAUCGUCUGUACCUUCAGUUGCGUGGUUCGUCGGACGAAUGGCAGAGCACGUUAAAUUUUACCUUCACAAGUACAUUGUACGUCCUCGAGGCCUCGGUUCAACGUGUAGCGCUACACAGUCCGGUAAAUUGAACUUUUGAUAUGACCUAGAACAAAUUGCAAAUAGAAUUUAUUUUCAUGCUAUCACGCUAAGGAAUCUAAUUUCAUCAAAGGAGUGGAGUUGUUUUCGUUUUUUUUUCCUUCACUUUUUCGAUUCUAAUGUUUCAUCAUCCGUUAACAGUCAUAUGGAGGGCGUCAUGUUUUUGUUGCCUUGCUUACCUGUCAGAAUAUCCGUUCGCAUUCACGUAUGACAACUUCGCGAAACACGACUGACCACAGCAGACGACUUUCUUUGUCUAACAAUAAGGCCUGAGACGUAGUGACGUCAUACUUUGUAGUAGACGGACCCCACUUUAUCUGGCAACCCAACUUCGCUCCCAUAGGAAAGCGCACAUGUAAAACAAGCCAUUACGUCAUUACGUCUCAGGUCUAUUAAAUUUAACACUUGUUAUCAAAUACUACAGGAUAUUUCCUUGGAAAAAAAAAAAGAAAUUUGAUUAUAUUUUCCCGUCCCAACUAUUUAUUGGUUUCAAAUAAAUCUCGUUGUGCUCAAAUUAACCAUUUGUUUCAGGGAAAAUCCAUACAUGAAGAGAUCCAUUUAAAGUUAAAAUUUAAGUGUCUACGCCAAUAGGCCAGAGUCCGAUUUUAAUUAUUACGGAAAACAUCCAAAAUACCAGAUUCAUGUGAUCGUUUUGUGAUGAAUUUAGGUCGUUGGCAUAACGUAAAAGCAACCUAUACAUUUUAAAGAAUAAAUUUAUACUAAAAAAAAACCGCUGUGAUGACAAAUAAACUGGAUUACAACUUGCAGUGAAAAUUAAGCUGAAUUCUGGGCCUGGGCUUUGGAGAAAAGAAAUUAUUUUGAAAAUUUUGAUUAUUUUUGAAAACGUGCCGGGGGGGGGGGGUGUGGACCGUGCCUUUGAAAUAUUUUUUUAAGUAAUAACUUGCGGUCUGAUCCGAAGAACCAUUUCGUCGAGACUCCAGUAUAUGCUUUUCUUGAGUAGGCCUAGUGCAUUUAACUCUUGACGGGUACAAGCAGAUGACCCAAUCAAUUUUCAUACCUCGAACAGGAUCUUCAAAAUUUUGCUGUUUAAAUUACAAAAUGUACUUAUAAAAAAUGUGUUUCUCAUCAAUCUGAAAGACAUUUUUGUUAUAAUUGUGAUCAAAGUGUUUUGAGAUGUUUUGUUUCAUAUUUUCAAGUACUAACAGUACGUUUGUACUGUAAGCAACACAACCUUAGCCCAGUACACGUCUAAACUUUUUUUUUUUUUUUUUUUAAAUUUUCCGACGCAAUGUCGUCUGCUUGCACUCGCAACUGGUCAUGAAUCCUAAAACAUUCGCUUAUACAGGGUGUUUGUAAAAAAAGAAAAGAAAUGGAGCUUAUUUUGAUGAUUUCUCGAGUAUGACUAUUUAUUUAGGAAAAUGGAAACCACAACCUGUUACAUAACCAUGUCAUUUACCGUCUUUUUACUAAGUGAUGUAUCUGGCAUGCCAGAAAUGGCCUUGGAGCACACAUGCACCAUUAGACAAAUUGACAGUAGUUAGCAUGUUGAACAUAACAAAAUCCAGGACGUACAUACAUUAUUCAAAGUCAUUUAUUCAAUUGCCUCCGAAGUUCUCAUUGCUGUGAACACAUUCCUGAUAUCGUAUUGAGUCAAACUCGUUGAGCGAUACAAAAGAACAAAAGAACAUUCUAAGUGACAGGAUAGGGAACAAUAAAGUGAAAUUGUAGGUGUUGAACCUAUAGGUGACAUAUGACGUGAUAAAGAAAUGCAUUGGAAAUGUUGUACAUGUAACGUGUAUAGUACACACACUGUAGUGCUCAACUCAAAUUUAUGUUGAAAUCUUUCGGCAAAGUUUGUCAACCAUUUUUUUUCUAUCAAUCAAAUUAAAAACACAAGCAAAUCUCUGUUUCUUUGGAGCUCUAUCGUCGUAAUUGUAUUUGUUUAAUCAUCGAUAAAUAAAAAAAACUUAAACAAAAUAA